GGAGAAAACAUAAAAAAGAUUAACUUCGAAAGCACUUGGCAUACAAUUAACGAAGCCCUUCACUAGAUAGUAAAGGUGUUCUAGAAUCUCAAGUCUAUGAAAAAA